rnacentral:rRNA from 1 species
AUCGAACGCUGGCGGCAGGCCUAACACAUGCAAGUCGAGCGCGAAAGUUCUUCGGAAUGAGUAAAGCGGCGGACGGGUGAGUAAUACAUGGGAGUCUGCCUGGUAGUGGGGGACAACGUUUCGAAAGGAACGCUAAUACCGCAUACGCCCUACGGGGGAAAGGGGGGGGAUCUUCGGACCUCUCGCUAUCAGAUGAGCCC